AUGAUAAGUGCGAGCAUGCCUCGAACAGUUGGGUACAUGGCAUCAGAGUACAUGUCACUUGGAAAAGCAUCGCGGAAGAGCAACGUCUUCAGCUAUGGGAUCAUGCUCCUUGAACUCUUCACUGGAAAGCAGCCCACUGCCACUAUGUUUGGCGCACAAUUAACGCUCAGGCGGUGGGUUCAUGAGGCAUAUCCUGCAGAGCUUGUCAAGGUCGUCGAUGGACAGCUACUACAUGGCUCCUCUCUUUCUAGCUGCACCUUGGACGAUGGGUUUCUUGCUUCAGUAUUUGAGUUGGGUUUGAUUUGUUCUAGCGACUCUCCUGACCAGCGAAUGACGAUGCAAGAUGUGGUCGUGACACUGAAGAAGGUCAAAGCUGAGUACACUAAACGGACAGCAAAAACAUGA
rnacentral:rRNA from 1 species